rnacentral:lncRNA from 1 species
UGGGAGAUAUGAUGAAGACAUUGUCAAUGCUUUGAACUACACAAGUCCUGCAGAAAGAUAUGUUAAAGAAACUGAAACAACGGUGGUUUUCUGUUCUACCGUCGUCUUUUCUCGUCGUCUAUAUUAAGUUAAGAUGGCGGUAGAUUUAUAAUUACCGACGUAGAUUAUUUUGUUAAACGUCGUUAAGUGUACUACAACCGACGUGGAUUUUAAUUUUAAAUUAUAAAUAGAGUUUUUUU